rnacentral:lncRNA from 1 species
UUUUUUUUUUUUUUUUUAGUGACAGUUGUAAGAGCGUUAAAAAAGGGGGGGGCGUGCUGACAAAUUUAUCUGUGAACACUUGAAUACACUUGGCUCUCCAUGUCCAUGAGUUCCGCAUCUGCAGAUUCAACCAACCAGAGAAUGAAAACAUUUCCAGAAAAAAAAAAGAAUUCCAGAAGGUUCCAAAAAGUAAAACUUGAAUUUGUCAAGGUUACAAACUAUGUUGUAUUUACAGCUGUUUACGUAUCAUUUACAUUGUAUUAAUGGUAGUAUCAGUAAUCUAGAGAUGAUUUAUAGAUAUGGGUAGGAUGUACUGUUAAUAUACAAAUGCCUUACCAUUUUAUGUAAGGGACUUCAGCAUCUGCCGGUUUUGUUGUGUUGGGACUGAAAGUCCUGGAAUCAGCCCCAUGGAUUCCAAGGUAUGUCUGUAUGUUAAGACAAUGGAGAAGAGGAAACAUUGGCGGACUCUUAGAAUGAUGGCCUAAAUACUUUUGUAAUUUGGAGCCCAGAUUUCAUGAUUUGAGUUUCAUGUUGGAAACUUAAUAGAGAAAGAAGGUCAUUGUUCUCUAAAGUUUUUUCUUAAGGCAAGACAACAUUCAUUAUCACUGUAUAACAUACUUCUCUGUGCUUUUAAGACGAAGUACUGGGAGUUCCUGUCGUGGCUCAGUGGAAACAAAUCUGACUAGUAUCCAUGAAGACGCAGGUACAAUUCUUGGCCUUGCUCAGUGGUUAAGGAUCUGGCGUUGCUGUGAGCUGUGGUAUAGGUUGCAGACGCAGCUCAGAUCUGGCAUUACUGUAGCUGGGUCGAAUCGGAGCUGUAGCCACCGGCCUACGCCAGAGCCACAGCAACGCGGGAUCCGAGCCGCGUCUGCAGCCUACACCACAGCUCAUGGCAACGCCGGAUCGUUAACCCACUGAGCAAGGGCAGGGAUCGAACCCGCAACCACAUGGUUCCUAGUCGGAUUCGUUAACCACUGCACCAUGACGGGAACUCCCCAUUUUUUGUUUCUUAUGUAGUAACUUCAAGAGCAAGAAGGUGUUUAGCAGAGUGCCUGGUACAUAGUAGGUGGUUGGUAAAGGGAGGCUGAACAAAUGUAUCCAUUGAAAGUAUUUAAAUUAUAGUAAAAUUAUGCAAAAAAUUAUGAGGGCAUUCUCUACAUAUAUAUUUUCCAUUAAAAGAAAUGACAUGUGGAGUUCCCUCUGUAGCACUGCAGGUUAAGGUGUUGUCUCUUUGGUGGUACAGGUUCGAUCCCCAGCUUGGUGCAGUGAUCCUGUGUUGUCACAGAUGUGACGUAAGUUGCAGCUGAAGCUUGGAUUUGAUCCCUGGCCCAGGAACUUCCAUAUGCUGCAGAUGUGGUCAUUAAAAAAAAAAAAAAAAAAAAAAAAAAANGCUCUCUAAGUCUGAAAUGAUCUCAAAAUAUAAAGUUUAAAACAAAACAAAACUCAGUUCCCGUCGUGGCUCAGUGGUAACAAACCUGACUAGUAUCCAAGUGGACAUGGGUUUGAUCCCUGACCUUGCUCAGUGGGUUAAGGAUCUGGCAUUGCCAUGAGCUGUGAUAUAGGUCACAAACGUGGCUCAGAUCCUAUGUUGCUGUGGCUGUGGCAUAGGCCAGCAUUUGCAGCUCCAGUUCAACCCCUAGCCUGAACUUACAUAUGCCUCGAGUGUGGCCCCCAAAAGACAAAAAUUAAAUUAAAGAGGGUACCUUAAAAAAAAAAAAAAA